GAUGAACGCUGGCGGCGUGCCUAAUACAUGCAAGUCGAGCGAACGGACGAGAAGCUUGCUUCUCUGAUGUUAGCGGCGGACGGGUGAGUAACACGUGGAUAACCUACCUAUAAGACUGGGAUAACUUCGGGAAACCGGAGCUAAUACCGGAUAAUAUUUUGAACCGCAUGGUUCAAAAGUGAAAGACGGUCUUGCUGUCACUUAUAGAUGGAUCCGCGCUGCAUUAGCUAGUUGGUAAGGUAACGGCUUACCAAGGCAACGAUGCAUAGCCGACCGGAGAGGGGGAUCGGCCACACUGGAACUGAGACACGGUCCAUACUCCUACGGGAGGCAGCAGUAGGGAAUCGGCCGCAAUGGGCGAAAGCCUGACGGAGCAACGCCGCGUGAGUGAUGAAGGUCUUCGGAUCGUAAAACUCUGUUAUUAGGGAAGAACAUAUGUGUAAGUAACUGUGCACAUCUUGACGGUACCUAAUCAGAAAGCCACGGCUAACUACGUG
rnacentral:rRNA from 1 species